UACAGGGGGUGCAAACGUUGCUCGGAAUCAUUGGGCGUAAAGCGCACGUAGGCGGUAUUGCAAGUCGGAUGUGAAAUCCCUCGGCUUAACCAAGGAAGUGCAUCCGAAACUGCUGUACUUGAGUACGAAAGAGGAUCGCGGAAUUCCCGGUGUAGAGGUGAAAUUCGUAGAUAUCGGGAGGAACACCAGUGGCGAAGGCGGCGAUCUGGGUCGAUACUGACGCUGAGGUGCGAAAGCGUGGGGAGCAAACAGG
rnacentral:rRNA from 1 species